GACGAACGCUGGCGGCGUGCUUAACACAUGCAAGUCGAACGGAAAGGCCCUGCUUUUGUGGGGUGCUCGAGUGGCGAACGGGUGAGUAACACGUGAGUAACCUGCCCUUGACUUUGGGAUAACUUCAGGAAACUGGGUCUAAUACCGGAUAGGAGCUCCUGCUGCAUGGUGGGGGUUGGUAAGUUUCGGCGGUUGGGGAUGGACUCGCGGCUUAUCAGCUUGUUGGUGGGGUAGUGGCUUACCAAGGCUUUGACGGGUAGCCGGCCUGAGAGGGUGACCGGCCACAUUGGGACUGAGAUAAGGCCCAGACUCCUACGGGAGGCAGAAGUGGGGAAUAUUGCACAAUGGGCGGAAGCCUGAUGCAGCAACGCCGCGUGCGGGGUGACGGCCUUCGGGUUGUAAACCGCUUUCGCCUGUGACGAAGCGUGAGUGACGGUAAUGGGUAAAGAAGCACCGGCUAACUACGUG
rnacentral:rRNA from 1 species